rnacentral:rRNA from 1 species
AAUCUCUUCGGAGAAUUGUAUCCGAGUGUCCUUGGGUGGUCAGUGCGAGCAAGUUGCUUGGGAUAGCACGCCAUGGAGGGUGAGAGCCCCGUCCAUCUCGCACAGGAUCCAUCCGCACAAGGGCGCUUCAACCGAGUCGGGUAGCUUGGGAAUGCUGCUCUAAUUGGUGGUAAAUCUCAUCAAAGGCUAAAUAACGGUGGGAGACCGAUAGCGAACAAGUACCGUGAGGGAAAGAUGGAAAGAACUUUGAAAAGAGAGUGAAAAGAACUUGAAACCGUCACGGGGGAAGCGGAUUGCGUGAGUGGUGGUGCCGCUUGUUCAGCGCUUUUUUAGGCGUGCAUUCUGGCGGUACCUUGUCGUCGUGGCUGGCUGGCUACGUGAUUUUGACGUGCCGGCUGGUGAGGGCUCCCUUCGGGUGAGGACGACGACAAAAUGACGCAAUACGACCCGUCUUGAAACACGGACCAAGGAGUCUAGCACGGCUGCGAGUCGAAGGGUGUAAAACCCAAGGGCGCAGUGAAAGCGAAUUUAUAAGCAAAUUGGGGAGGCGUGGCGUUUUUAACAAAAUGUCCUACCUCGAGCAUUUGUGCUGGGACCCGAAAGAUGGUGAACUAUGCCGGAGUAGGGCAAAGCCAGAGGAAACUCUGGUGGAGGCUCGUAGCGAUGCUGACGUGCAAAUCGCUCGUCGAACUUGGGUAUAGGGGCGAAAGACUAAUCGAACCAUCUAGUAGCUGGUUCCCUCCGAAGUUUCUCUCAGGAUAGCGGGCCGACAUUUUGUUGUUUUGUGCGGUAAAGCGAAUGAUUAGUGCAUUUGGGGUCUGAUAGACUUCAGGCGAUUCUCAAACUUUAAAUGCGCAAGGGGGUGGCUGCUUAAUUGAGCCUACUCUUUGAAAAACGUCGGCCCUGUGGGCCACUUUUGGUAAGCAGAACUGGCGAUAAGGGAUGAACCUUAAGCGCGGUUAAGGCGCCGCAUUGCCCGCUUAUAGACCCCACAAAAGGUGUUGAUUCAUUUAGACAGCAGGACGGUGGCCAUGGAAGUCGGAAUCCGCUAAGGAGUGUGUAACAACUCACCUGCCGAAUGAAUUAG